UACGUAGGUGACCAGCGUUGUCCGGAUUUACUGGGCGUAAAGAGCGCGCAGGCGGUCGUUCAAGUCGAGUGUGAAAGCCCCCGGCUCAACUGGGGAGGGUCACUCGAUACUGAUCGACUUGAAGGCAGGAGAGGGAAGCGGAAUUCCCGGUGUAGUGGUGAAAUGCGUAGAUAUCGGGAGGAACACCAGUGGCGAAGGCGGGUCUCUGGGCAGUAACGUGACGCUGAGGAGCGAAAGCGUGGGGAGCGAAGAGG
rnacentral:rRNA from 1 species